GCUUUAUCAAUUCAGCAUUUGUUUUAGCAAACUGAACCUUCAAAUAACACACUAGUAGUAGUAGUGAGCUGAAGAAUCAUUGUUGACUGAUGUACUCUCAAUUUAUCAGUUGCCUAUAUUUUGCACAGAAUUACAUCAAAAUUGGUGACGAAGUAGUGCCAAACAAAAUCAGUUCAACAGGAUUGAGGGAUUGCAUUUCGAGGGGCUUGUCUGUGAAAUAUUUAACUACUGAUGAAGUAAUCGAUUAUACUAAACAAUGACACCUCUACAUCAUGCAGAAUGCAGUAGUCUGACGAUGCCUCUGCUCUUCAAGUACUCUCCUAUUUGAAGGACCGCUGUACAGUACGAAUGGAAGUUUAUUUGCUAGAAAGGCAUAUGGCUGAUGUUUCAGACUUUCAGUCCUGUUCCAUGGCAAUUAGUUUGACUCGGGGGGAUUUUCUUAGGCGACUAGCCUUUGGCGGACCGCGGAAGUUACCUUCUGCCUUUAAGCAGGGUGGAGAGACUGUCUCAUGUAAUUCAAUUUUUGCCACAGAAGUUUGGCAUCUCUCAAUAUUGCGGUCAAUGUAUUAGGCGAAUUAGAAGACAUGUAUAUAGUCUCUAUAGGGUGUAAAAUGUCUCUUCAUUUUUCCUUUUACAUAUGGCUGAGAAUUUUAGAAAGAGCUCAAAAGUGAUCUCUCUCUUACUAGCAAUAUUGAAACUGUAGCCGUAGCUUAAAUGAACUUCAGCAAGUUCACAAAAUCGUCGUAGACCACCAUUUCCUGAAGAAAAAAUAUACACCAUGUUGUACUUUAAGACCUCC